rnacentral:rRNA from 1 species
UACAGAGACCUCAAGCGUUAUCCGGAUUCACUGGGCGUAAAGCGUCCGCAGGUGGUCCAUUAAGUCAUUUGUCAAAUCCCGGUGCUCAACAUCGGAACUGCGAAUGAUACUGCUGGACUUGAGGAUGGAAGAGGUAAGAGGAACUGCCGGUGUAGUAGUAAAAUGCGUUAAUAUCGGCAGGAACACCAAAGGCGAAGGCAUCUUACUGGGACAUUCCUGACACUCAUGGACGAAAGCGUGGGGAG